GACGAACGCUGGCGGCGUGCCUAAUACAUGCAAGUUGAGCGCUGAAGGUUGGUACUUGUACCAACUGGAUGAGCAGCGAACGGGUGAGUAACGCGUGGGGAAUCUGCCUUUGAGCGGGGGACAACAUUUGGAAACGAAUGCUAAUACCGCAUAAAAACUUUAAACACAAGUUUUAGGUUUGAAAGAUGCAAUUGCAUCACUCAAAGAUGAUCCCGCGUUGUAUUAGCUAGUUGGUGAGGUAAAGGCUCACCAAGGCGAUGAUACAUAGCCGACCUGAGAGGGUGAUCGGCCACAUUGGGACUGAGACACGGCCCAAACUCCUACGGGAGGCAGCAGUAGGGAAUCUUCGGCAAUGGACGAAAGUCUGACCGAGCAACGCCGCGUGAGUGAAGAAGGUUUUCGGAUCGUAAAACUCUGUUGGUAGAGAAGAACGUUGGUGAGAGUGGAAAGCUCAUCAAGUGACGGUAACUACCCAGAAAGGGACGGCUAACUACGUGCCAGCAGCCGCGGUAAUACGUAGGUCCCGAGCGUUGUCCGGAUUUAUUGGGCGUAAAGCGAGCGCAGGUGGUUUAUUAAGUCUGGUGUAAAAGGCAGUGGCUCAACCAUUGUAUGCAUUGGAAACCUGGUAGACUUGAGUGCAGGAGAGGAGAGCGGAAUUC
rnacentral:rRNA from 1 species